rnacentral:rRNA from 1 species
CGAGACGGCGGGGUAGAGGCCCGCCGCGGUAACGACGGGUAACGGGGAAUCAGGGUUCGAUUCCGGAGAGGGAGCCCGAGAAACGGCUACCACUUCCAAGGAAGGCAGCAGGCGCGCAACUUACCCUAAUCUCGAUUCGAGGAGGUAGUGACAAGAAAUACCGAUGCGGGACCCUACGGGUGCCGCGUUCGGAAUGAGUACGAUUCGAACCACCUAACGAGGAACGAUCGGAGGGCAAGUCUGGUGCCAGCAGCCGCGGUAAUUCCAGCUCCAAUAGCGUACGUUAAAGUUGCUGCAGUUAAAAAGCUCGUAGUUGAACGUUCGGGUUCCGCGGGACGGGGCCGCCCCGCGAGGGACGGCGCCGCCCCGGGGCUCGUGAUAUCUCAUCUCGCCGCCCGUCGCGAGGCGGACGGAGGGAUGGAUGAGGUUACCUGGAAAAAAUCGGGGC